AUGGACGAUCCCUCCUCCGCCUCCAACAAGCACAAGCGCAAGCGGGGGCGCAAGCCCAAGGCAUCGCCACCCUCCCUCGACCGCUCCUCCGCCUCUCCCUCGGUCGCCCCCGCUCCGGCUGGGCGCCGUGGCCGCAAGCCGCGACGUCAUGAGGCCCUCGCCGGCGUGGACGCCACGCGUCCUCCGUCCCCGCCCUGCCGCGGGGAGCCGAAGCCGGUGGCAAACGGACGCGAUGUGGUGGCAGUGGCGGAGUGCGGCCCCGCGAGCUGGGAUGAGGUGGUGAGGGUAGUGCCGUGCAUGGACGCUGUGGUCAAGGUUUUCUGCGUGCGCACGGAGCCCAACAUCUCGCUACCGUGGCAGCGGAAGCGGCAGUACAGCUCCAGCAGCAGCGUAUUUAUCAUCAGCGGCCGCCGUGUCCUUACCAAUGCUUACUCCGUGGAGCACUAUACCCAGGUUAAGCUUAAGAAGCGCGGCUCCGACACCAAGUACCUUGCCACCGUCCUGGCCAUCGGCACAGAGUGCGACAUUGGAGUUUCACCUAUUGAGUUUGGAACAAUACCAGUCCUUCAGGAUGCAGUUACUGUUGUUGGCUAUCCAAUUGGAGGAGAUACCAUAUCCGUGACAAGUGGAGUGGUCUCUAGGAUAGAAAUACUUUCAUAUGUUCAUGGUUCUACAGAACUUCUAGGAUUACAGAUAGAUGCAGCUAUUAAUUCAGGAAAUUCAGGUGGCCCAACUUUUAAUGAUAGGGGAAAAUGUGUCGGUAUAGCUUUUCAGUCUCUUAAACAUGAAGAUGCGGAGAACAUAUGUUAUGUGAUACCGACUCCAGUUAUUACACAUUUCAUUGAGGACUACAAAAAAUCUGGAGAAUACACAGGCUGCAACUGAGUACAUUCAUUCUUUAUCAAGGGCACAGCCUGCUCGUUCUCUCAAUGGUGCUGGCCUUUGUCCUGCUAGUAGAUCACUUAGCACCCAUGCCACCACUACGUCAAGCACACCACAGUUGAAAGCACGCCACGUCAAGCACCCAGGCCGCCACUACGUCAAGCAAAACAGAAGACGAGAAGAACUGAUGUAGCCAUGUUCAUGCUUCCACUGUUGAAAUGCAUAUUCAGCAUAGCUUGCUCA